rnacentral:rRNA from 1 species
GUAGUCCACGCUGUAAACGGUGGGUACUAGGUGUGGGGUCCAUUCCACGGGUUCCGUGCCGUAGCUAACGCUUUAAGUACCCCGCCUGGGGAGUACGGCCGCAAGGCUAAAACUCAAAGGAAUUGACGGGGCCCCGCACAAGCGGCGGAGCAUGCGGAUUAAUUCGAUGCAACGCGAAGAACCUUACCUGGGUUUGACAUGGAUCAGGAGUGCUUAGAGAUGGGUGCGCCUCUUUUGGGGCUGGUUCACAGGUGGUGCAUGGCUGUCGUCAGCUCGUGUCGUGAGAUGUUGGGUUAAGUCCCGCAACGAGCGCAACCCUUGUUCACUGUUGCCAGCACGUUAUGGUGGGGACUCAGUGGAGACUGCCAGUGAUAUACUGGA